rnacentral:misc_RNA from 1 species
UCCUUCUAAUAUAUCAGACAUUUAUAUAUAGAUGUUUGGACUUUUAAUUGAGAAAAGUGAUAUUGUUAUAUAAUGUUACUUUCUUAAAAUCUAGGAAUAUUUUGUUUUGGUUUUCUUCCAACUCAUUUUGUAUUUUUAAUAUAACAAAUGAGUGUGAAUUAUAUCAAGCAAACAAUAAUACUUUUU